rnacentral:rRNA from 1 species
UUAAGCGACUAAGCGUACACGGUGGAUGCCCUGGCAGUCAGAGGCGAUGAAGGACGUGCUAAUCUGCGAUAAGCGUCGGUGAGGUGAUAUGAACCGUUAUAACCGGCGAUUUCCGAAUGGGGAAACCCAGUGUGUUUCGACACACUAUCAUUAACUGAAUCCAUAGGUUAAUGAGGCGAACCGGGGGAACUGAAACAUCUAAGUACCCCGAGGAAAAGAAAUCAACCGAGAUUCCCCCAGUAGCGGCGAGCGAACGGGGAGGAGCCCAGAGCCUGAAUCAGUGUGUGUGUUAGUGGAAGCGUCUGGAAAGGCGUGCGAUACAGGGUGACAGCCCCGUACACAAAAAUGCACAUAUUGUGAGCUCGAUGAGUAGGGCGGGACACGUGGUAUCCUGUCUGAAUAUGGGGGGACCAUCCUCCAAGGCUAAAUACUCCUGACUGACCGAUAGUGAACCAGUACCGUGAGGGAAAGGCGAAAAGAACCCCGGCGAGGGGAGUGAAAAAGAACCUGAAACCGUGUACGUACAAGCAGUGGGAGCCUCUUAAUGGGGUGACUGCGUACCUUUUGUAUAAUGGGUCAGCGACUUAUAUUCUGUAGCAAGGUUAACCGAAUAGGGGAGCCGAAGGGAAACCGAGUCUUAACUGGGCGUUAAGUUGCAGGGUAUAGACCCGAAACCCGGUGAUCUAGCCAUGGGCAGGUUGAAGGUUGGGUAACACUAACUGGAGGACCGAACCGACUAAUGUUGAAAAAUUAGCGGAUGACUUGUGGCUGGGGGUGAAAGGCCAAUCAAACCGGGAGAUAGCUGGUUCUCCCCGAAAGCUAUUUAGGUAGCGCCUCGUGAAUUCAUCUCCGGGGGUAGAGCACUGUUUCGGCAAGGGGGUCAUCCCGACUUACCAACCCGAUGCAAACUGCGAAUACCGGAGAAUGUUAUCACGGGAGACACACGGCGGGUGCUAACGUCCGUCGUGAAGAGGGAAACAACCCAGACCGCCAGCUAAGGUCCCAAAGUCAUGGUUAAGUGGGAAACGAUGUGGGAAGGCCCAGACAGCCAGGAUGUUGGCUUAGAAGCAGCCAUCAUUUAAAGAAAGCGUAAUAGCUCACUGGUCGAGUCGGCCUGCGCGGAAGAUGUAACGGGGCUAAACCAUGCACCGAAGCUGCGGCAGCGACACUAUGUGUUGUUGGGUAGGGGAGCGUUCUGUAAGCCUGUGAAGGUGGCCUGUGAGGGUUGCUGGAGGUAUCAGAAGUGCGAAUGCUGACAUAAGUAACGAUAAAGCGGGUGAAAAGCCCGCUCGCCGGAAGACCAAGGGUUCCUGUCCAACGUUAAUCGGGGCAGGGUGAGUCGACCCCUAAGGCGAGGCCGAAAGGCGUAGUCGAUGGGAAACAGGUUAAUAUUCCUGUACUUGGUGUUACUGCGAAGGGGGGGGACGGAGAAGGCUAUGUUGGCCGGGCGACGGUUGUCCCGGUUUAAGCGUGUAGGCUGGUUUUUCCGAGCAAAUCCGGAAAACCAAGGCUGAGGCGUGAUGACGAGGCACUACGGUGCUGAAGCGACAAAUGCCCUGCUUCCGGGGAAAAGCCUCUAAGCAUCAGGUAACAUCAAAUCGUACCCCCAAACCGACACAGGUGGUCAGGUAGAGAAUACCAAGGCGCUUGAGAGAACUCGGGUGAAGGAACUAGGCAAAAUGGUGCCGUAACUUCGGGAGAAGGCACGCUGAUAUGUAGGUGAAGCGACUUGCUCGUGGAGCUGAAAUCAGUCGAAGAUACCAGCUGGCUGCAACUGUUUAUUAAAAAACACAGCACUGUGCAAACACGAAAGUGGACGUAUACGGUGUGACGCCUGCCCGGUGCCGGAAGGUUAAUUGAUGGGGUUAGCGGUAACGCGAAGCUCUUGAUCGAAGCCCCGGUAAACGGCGGCCGUAACUAUAACGGUCCUAAGGUAGCGAAAUUCCUUGUCGGGUAAGUUCCGACCUGCACGAAUGGCGUAAUGAUGGCGGGCUGUCUCCACCCGAGACUCAGUGAAAUUGAACUCGCUGUGAAGAUGCAGUGUACCCGCGGCAAGACGGAAAGACCCCGUGAACCUUUACUAUAGCUUGACACUGAACAUUGAGCCUUGAUGUGUAGGAUAGGUGGGAGGCUUUGAAGUGUGGACGCCAGUCUGCAUGGAGCCGACCUUGAAAUACCACCCUUUAAUGUUUGAUGUUCUAACGUUGGCCCGUAAUCCGGGUUGCGGACAGUGUCUGGUGGGUAGUUUGACUGGGGCGGUCUCCUCCUAAAGAGUAACGGAGGAGCACGAAGGUUGGCUAAUCCUGGUCGGACAUCAGGAGGUUAGUGCAAUGGCAUAAGCCAGCUUGACUGCGAGCGUGACGGCGCGAGCAGGUGCGAAAGCAGGUCAUAGUGAUCCGGUGGUUCUGAAUGGAAGGGCCAUCGCUCAACGGAUAAAAGGUACUCCGGGGAUAACAGGCUGAUACCGCCCAAGAGUUCAUAUCGACGGCGGUGUUUGGCACCUCGAUGUCGGCUCAUCACAUCCUGGGGGCUGAAGUAGGUCCCAAGGGUAUGGCUGUUCGCCAUUUAAAGUGGUACGCGAGCUGGGUUUAGAACGUCGUGAGACAGUUCGGUCCCCUAUCUGCCGUGGGCGCUGGAGAACUGAGGGGGGCUGCUCCUAGUACGAGAGGACCGGAGUGGACGCAUCACUGGUGUUCGGGUUGUCAUGCCAAUGGCACUGCCCGGUAGCUAAAUGCGGAAGAGAUAAGUGCUGAAAGCAUCUAAGCACGAAACUUGCCCCGAGAUGAGUUCUCCCUGAGACUUAGAGUCUCCUGAAGGAACGUUGAAGACGACGACGUUGAUAGGCCGGGUGUGUAAGCGCAGCGAUGCGUUGAGCUAACCGGUACUAAUGAACCGUGAGGCUUAACCU